CCGCGGCCAGAUGUGGGCGGAUGUGGGGGCCGGGCGGCGGCGCGGGGGCGGCGCCAAGGGGGGAAGAGAUUCCUCCCCUUCCCUGGGGCGCAGGGUUCCUCCUGCGGGAGGUUUUAUUUACGCAGCCAAACAAAGUUCACCGCCGCCGCCGCCGCCGCCGCCGCCGCCUUCCCGCGCUCAGCGCCUGCAAGGGUUAAGCGCCCGAGCUGCCCGGCCGGGGGACCCCCGCCUGUGGGCCCGGAGCCGCGGAGCGAGGGGCGACCGCAGGACUCACAUGGUCCCGGGGGGGGGCGCCCCCCCAGCGACUCCCCAUCCCUACCCGUCCACCCCCGGGGUCGCUUGCUGCACCCUCCGAGCCAGUGGAGCUGAACAGACGUGGGCUUAUCUCCUCGGGGAGCCCAGCCAGGGUGCACGCCUUGCCAAAAUGCUCCCCUGUGGGAACCUAAAGGACAAUGGCAGGAGGGAACUGACCUCCACGGCCAGAAAGUGCCGCAUGUUGGCAUGACUGCACUCUAGAACCCAUCCGGUCCAUACCCCCACCUUCCGUUUAACCACCGGGGCCAUGGCUGCCAGGCCUUGACACCUCCAGAGAGAUGGGAAACAGCUGGGCACCACCCUUCACAUAAUAAUCACCUUCUCCAAACUCGAAGACAAUCCGGCCGCUCCUCGGCCUUCUCUUUCCCCGCUGAAAUCGUGCACCCAGCCCUGUCUCAGCCC